rnacentral:lncRNA from 1 species
AACUUGUCUUGUCUUUUUUAUGAUAAUUUAUAACUCGCAGCAGUACCUAUCACAGCCACGUCAGUCGUGAGGUGAAUUAGGAUAUGCAAAGAAAAUAUAUCUUUUUUUAUUUCAGAGUGAUAAAGCGACGGCCACUGCUGCGUUGUUUCUUCUUAUUUCUGCCAAUUCGAAGUCUAGCUGAGAGUGAACAGACACAAAGUCGCCUAAGCCAUACUUAGAGCUCUAGCAAUUAAGCUGGCAACAACCGCUACAAGCAUUGCUUUGGACUACUGCUGCUUGAUAGUGCCGACUCCUAUUACUUGUGAAGAUGUUGACAUAAUGCCAUCGUUGGCUUCUAAGAUUGCUGCUCUAAUCAACUGAGAGCGUUUUGAAUAGUCCCCGCUGUUGGCUGUUUCUGCUGUUGACUGAUUACUAGUGAUCUCAGAUGGUUGGCAGAAAACUCAAAAGAGGAGAGAAUACAGAAGCGGAUCGUGCCCUUUAAGUCACAUGUUGCUUUCUACCACAUCGUUUCAAACGAAGUUUUACUAUAAUAUUUCUCUAGUUUGGACUUGGUGUGUAAUUAAUAGUCAUUGCUUUGGUCAAUACACAGCCUCUUUACCUUGUACAUGAAGGGAAUAUUUAGAUUGUUAUUCUUUCAUCCCGAAUAAGGACAUGAAAGAGCACGAUUUUUGUAUCUAUUAGAAUAGACCGAACAAUUUUUGUCAGAAGUAAUUAUGUAUAUUGACAGUAUAGCUGAACAGGUUGGGGAAAUAUAUAUCUGUUGAGAGAAGACUUGUUCUCGUAAGACAAAAAUUCUAGCCUCUAUGCUUGCAGCUGGAGGGGCCUCUGUUUCUGAACGGGGGAACUUUGUUUCAGCAGGCUUGCAUAGAAGGGUUGGAUUCGUUAAUGGGGCAAAUUGGACACAUGAUGAGGUGCAAAUUUAGGAAUAUUUUUGUCUCAUAUAAGAUAAAAAAUAUAUGCACGUAGCCGUUUACAAAGUGAUCAAUUCAUCACACACGAAACAAAUAAUUGAUCUGCAAGUCAUCGUAAUUCGUUUCAAUUUUCUAGCUGCGAGCUCACAACAUUCAAAUACUUCACAAAGUCUACAAAGUUAAUAAAUAAAUAUACGUGACAGACUUAUUCUCAGACCAUUUCAAUAUUGGCAAAUAAUAAGUCUCUAAUUUUUAUGAGUCUGCUCAUAAUUUCUUUUGUGUUGACCCUAUUCUCAGGUGAUUCGCUUGUACACUCCAUUGCUAAACUCAAAACAGAUGAUGCACAUGACUGCUUUGCAACAUUAGC